rnacentral:rRNA from 1 species
UAAUACGUAGGGUGCGAGCGUUGUCCGGAUUUAUUGGGCGUAAAGAGCUCGUAGGCGGUUUGUUGCGUCGGCUGUGAAAACCUACAGCUUAACUGUGGGCCUGCAGUCGAUACGGGCAGACUUGAGUUCGGCAGGGGAGACUGGAAUUCCUGGUGUAGCGGUGAAAUGCGCAGAUAUCAGGAGGAACACCGGUGGCGAAGGCGGGUCUCUGGGCCGAUACUGACGCUGAGGAGCGAAAGCGUGGGGAGCGAACAGGAUUAGAUACCCUGGUAGUCCACGCCGUAAACGGUGGGUGCUAGGUGUGGGGGACUUCCACGUCCUCCGUGCCGCAGCUAACGCAUUAAGCACCCCGCCUGGGGAGUACGGCCGCAAGGCUA